UCCCCGGACAGCACACGUACGUCUGGCCGACGUCGGCCCAAGAGUGAAACGUCGGCCUCAUUACCUAAAACAUCUCAUAAGCGUCGGCCAGGCAUAGGCCGAUAUAAUUCGGUCAGUGCUCUGUUUCUCAGCUCAUCAAGCGUCGGCUCGGAGUCAGCUCACGACCGGAGGCCGAUGCUGCGCUUUUCUGUUUGCUGGAGCCGUUAUUCAUCUCUUAUAUAACGUAGCAACCUACAGAGAGAAGAGACUCAUCCCGCGACAUCUGGGGCUUUCAGGCUAACGUUACCAGAAAGAAUCCGUUUCUACGAUGUUUAUUUGUGUAAAUGCUGUGAGUGCGUUGAGCUCUGCGCAAGCUGGGAGCAGAGUUGCCAUGGAAACGGCUCUCGCUGCUGUUUUCACUGCUUUCAGAAAUGGUUUAGCCUCUUCGAAAAAGUCUAUUAGCAUCUCAACCGUUUUCAGACGAGGUAGGCUAACUCUGUAGAUUGAGCUCUUGUUUAUGAAACUUUGGGCUUUUAAUCAAAUCUUCAUGUGUAUGAGAUGUUUUGAUAGAUCUGUAAAGGUUUUGCUGGCGAUUUGUCAAUGGGUUAUUGGAAAUAGGACUUAAAUAUGUACUUAACCUAAAC